UCCAGUCAAUUAAUACUAGAAUCAGGCAACAGAUUCUUGAUAUUCUUUGAAUCCGACCAUUUGAGGAGCCUUGAUAGUACUUUGGUGUCCCUCUCUCCGGCAAACCUCUGACUCGGGAGGCUUUCAACCCACCCUUUGAUUGCAUUCACCAGAGAUUUGAUGCUUGGAAAUGGAAGCACUUAUCCCAAGUUGGAAGGCUCACUUUGAUUCAAUCUGUAUUUUUUUUUUUAGACUCACAAUAUUUUGAAAUUGU
rnacentral:lncRNA from 1 species